AUGAACGCUAGCGGCAGGCUUAACACAUGCAAGUCGAGGGGCAGCACGAGGUAGCAAUACUUUGGUGGCGACCGGCGCACGGGUGCGUAACGCGUAUGCAACCUACCUUUAACAGGGGCAUAACACUGAGAAAUUGGUACUAAUUCCCCAUAACAUUCGAGAAGGCAUCUUCUUGGGUUAAAAACUCCGGUGGUUAAAGAUGGGCAUGCGUUGUAUUAGCUAGUUGGUGAGGUAACGGCUCACCAAGGCAACGAUACAUAGGGGGACUGAGAGGUUAACCCCCCACAUUGGUACUGAGACACGGACCAAACUCCUACGGGAGGCAGCAGUGAGGAAUAUUGGUCAAUGGACGCAAGUCUGAACCAGCCAUGCCGCGUGCAGGAAGACGGCUCUAUGAGUUGUAAACUGCUUUUGUACUAGGGUAAACGCUUCUACGUGUAGGAGCCUGAAAGUAUAGUACGAAUAAGGAUCGGCUAACUCCGUGCCAGCAGCCGCGGUAAUACGGAGGAUCCAAGCGUUAUCCGGAUUUAUUGGGUUUAAAGGGUGCGUAGGCGGUUUGAUAAGUUAGAGGUGAAAUACCGGGGCUCAACUCCGGAACUGCCUCUAAUACUGUUGAACUAGAGAGUAGUUGCGGUAGGCGGAAUGUAUGGUGUAGCGGUGAAAUGCUUAGAGAUCAUACAGAACACCGAUUGCGAAGGCAGCUUACCAAACUAUAUCUGACGUUGAGGCACGAAAGCGUGGGGAGCAAACAGGAUUAGAUACCCUGGUAGUCCACGCAGUAAACGAUGAUAACUCGUUGUCGGCGAUACACAGUCGGUGACUAAGCGAAAGCGAUAAGUUAUCCACCUGGGGAGUACGUUCGCAAGAAUGAAACUCAAAGGAAUUGACGGGGGCCCGCACAAGCGGUGGAGCAUGUGGUUUAAUUCGAAGCAACGCGAAGAACCUUACCUGCUCUUGACAUCCCACUGACAGGUCAGUAAUGUGACCCUUUCUUCGGAACAGUGGUGACAGGUGGUGCAUGGUUGUCGUCAGCUCGUGCCGUGAGGUGUCGGGUUAAGUCCCAUAACGAGCGCAACCCCUACCGUUAGUUGCCAUCAGGUCAAGCUGGGCACUCUGGCGGGACUGCCGGUGUAAGCCGAGAGGAAGGUGGGGAUGACGUCAAAUCAGCACGGCCCUUACGUCCGGGGCUACACACGUGUUACAAUGGUAGGUACAGAGGGCCGCUACCCCGUGAGGGGAUGCCAAUCUCGAAAGCCUAUCUCAGUUCGGAUCGGAGGCUGAAACCCGCCUCCGUGAAGUUGGAUUCGCUAGUAAUCGCGCAUCAGCCAUGGCGCGGUGAAUACGUUCCCGGGCCUUGUACACACCGCCCGUCACACCAUGGGAGUUGGAAAUGCCCGAAGUCAGUGACCCAACCGCAAGGAGGGAGCUGCCGAAGGCAGGUUCGAUAACUGGGGUG
rnacentral:rRNA from 1 species